CCCUGCCUUUUGUACACACCGCCCGUCGCUACUACCGAUUGAAUGGCUUAGUGAGGCCUUUGGAUCUGUCCUUUGGGCGCAAGCCUGUGGGAUGGAAAAAUUGGACAAACUUGGUCAUUUAGAGGAAGUAAAAGUCGUAACAAGGUUUCC
rnacentral:rRNA from 1 species